GCGACUCCAGAGAGAAGAUUUACGAAGGCUCCUGUAUUACGGAUCAGCACUGAGGGAGGCAAAUGGAUUUCUUCAGGUGCUGCAGGAAGUUCAGGCAGAAUGACGGUGAAUGUUGCAAAAACCUGCGCUCUGCAAGGACACCUGUCACAGGUUCUAACCGACACUUCAAGAGCCAGUGCCACACUAAAAAUGGCUUUCUGGGGUGUUGCCGUGCUUUGAUUUGGUGCCAGUGCUCAGCACAACAAGAGGAAGAGGUACACCCUGGCUAGUCAUUCAGCCUUUAUUUUCUGUACAGCAUCAUUUACAUAG